rnacentral:piRNA from 1 species
GCAGUAUGUAACUGAUAGAAGCGGUGUAC